rnacentral:rRNA from 1 species
AUUUAUGGAGCUAGCCGUCGAAGGUGGGACAAAUGAUUGGGGUGAAGUCGUAACAAGGUAGCCGUAUCGGAAGGUGCGGCUGGAUCACCUCCUUUCUAAGGA